rnacentral:rRNA from 1 species
UGAACGCUGGCGGCGUGCCUAACACAUGCAAGUCGAACGAACCUUGGGGAACAGAUUACUUCGGAAUGACGAUUUGGUGACUGAGUGGCGGACGGGUGAGUAACGCGUGGGUAACCUGCCUUAUACAGGGGGAUAACAGUUGAAACGGCUGCUAAUACCGCAUAAGCACACAGGGUCGCAUGACCUGGUGUGAAAAACUCCGGUGGUAUGAGAUGGACCCGCGUUGGAUUAGCUGGUUGGUGAGGUAACGGCCCACCAAGGCGACGAUGCAUAGCCGGCCUGAGAGGGUGAACGGCCACAUUGGGACUGAGACGCGGCCCAAAACUCCUACGGGAGGCAGCAGUAGGGAAUUUUCGUCAAUGGGGGCAACCCUGAACGAGCAAUGCCGCGUGAGUGAGGAAGGUCUUCGGAUCGUAAAGCUCUGUUGCAGGAGAAAAACGGCAGAUAUAGGAAAUGAUAUCUGAGUGAUGGUAACCUGCCAGAAAGUCACGGCUAACUACGUG